ACACGACUCUCGGCAACGGAUAUCUCGGCUCUCGCAUCGAUGAAGAACGUAGCGAAAUGCGAUACCUGGUGUGAAUUGCAGAAUCCCGCGAACCAUCGAGUCUUUGAACGCAAGUUGCGCCCGAGGNCAUUCGGCCGAGGGCACGCCUGCCUGGGCGUCACGC
rnacentral:rRNA from 1 species